UUGUAAGUUUUUUAACAAUUUGCUUAGCUUCCACAAUUUCUCGUUUGUAUUCAUUCAUGAUGCAGCUAUCAGCUGGAAGAAGGUGCACAUAGAGAUCAUCCAAAUCGAGAAGGUUAAACUGCAGGAGCACUGCUGCAGCUCUAUACAAGGAGGAUGGAGUCUCACCAUUUGGCUCCUGGUAAAACUUGAAUUUGAACCCAAGAAUGUGGCACAGUGUCUGUGGUUCACACAUACUCAUAUAAGCUUGUAAUAAAGAUAUAAAAAAAUCAUGGUGUUCUGGCCUGCAUUCAAACACUUCUAAAAUGAUAUCCAAAACUCUGUUGGGAUCUAGAUUAAAGCAUCCUAUUAAAGAUUUGAGAAUUUCUAAGAUUAAAUCACUAGUGAUACUCCCAGAUAAAUCUUGCCCUAAUUCAACUAUCAGCUUGGCAUAACCUUCAUUUUCUUCUCUUAACAAAUUGAACUUCUGCUGUUUGUAGAAGAGUUUCGUUUUGAUCUUAACUGAUUUUUGAUUGAAUUGCUGAGACUGUUUGAUAAGGCCUAAUGAUUCCAAUGUUUCUGGAUCCAAGCGUUCCUUCAGAACUGUGUCUGAAACUAAAUAUAAACAUGCUAAUAUCAGUUGUGUAAAAUGAUCUCUCUUGCUUUUUUCUUCUAGGCAAUUUGUCUCAAUAUCUAAUAUGCAGAAUAUAUCAGCAAGAAUAAACGGAAUAUCUUCUCGAAAUUCACUGAUGUCAUUAAGAACACUUGAGGCCUGUUCGGGCUUUAAAGUUCCUUUAAUGACAUGGUAUGAUAACUCAUAGAGUGCUUGCUGGAAAUCUCUACAAGCCAAAGUGUCACGGCUUUUACUUUCACUGAGAAUCCGGCAUAAACGCAAAAACUCGCCUCUCCCAGAUUUCUCCCAGGUCUUGAUCCACUCUGCAGGAACCACUACAGUUGUCGAGGCCAUCGCCACUUGUGCACUAACACUUUUGCUCCAGAAGGUCCAAGGAACGAUCCGCCCACAGCGAACACAGAUAUUCCGAAGGAAGGGUUUUAGUGCUGUUUUUCUGGAUCUGGAAGCAGGGAGUGUUGGAUGCUCAUUGCUGUAGGUCACGCUCGCGUUCGGCCGGUGUCGCCGUCCGCGGCCGC
rnacentral:lncRNA from 1 species